ACAGGAAGACAAGCGACGCAAAAUGAAUCCGUUCUCUGAACCAGAGACAGAACAAGCGGACAACCGACGAGAUAACCAUGCAUCCGGUGAUGGGGGUCCUGCAACAAUAGCGUUAUAGGUGGGCUGCGUUUGGGAAAAACGUAAAACUAGAAGAGCGACGCGAACUCCUCGACUACUUGGACCUUGUCUGCGUCUGUCGCGGAAGCCGGGAUGUCGAGACGACUGCUACAGGAAGGAAGGACUUCUUUAUGGUGGUGGUGAACCUCGGUAACCUCGAAGAGACCCGGCGGGCUUAUUCACAAACGCUUCGCAUUGCAUCCGGACGCUGCCAGCAUAAUAAGAUAUAGGUCAAGUGCGGCUGGUACCAUGUAUGGCUAUACCUGUGGCGAGGAAGGACAAAGAUAUACGUAGGUUAUCGUUGUCGAAUCGAAAGGGUUCAUUCUAUAUCUUCGUCUUACCGCCUCUUUGUCUAUUUCAGUAUACCACCUGUCGUAUAUAAAACUUCUUAAUCUCGCUUAAGAUUAAUACCUACGCACAGAAAAACUCAAUUAAAUUUAUUAGCGUAUCAUAUCUAAACUGUGGAUUUCUAUGCGAAUUCGCAUUUUUACCGAUAUUAAUAAAAAAAGUUCGAUUUGAAUGAAAGCAUGCCUGUAAAUGUUGUAAAAUAGAAUGUAUCGAACACGCACAAACUUUAACACUCAUAAGGAAAUCGUUUCAUUUUAUUAGCUUAAUUCUCUAUUUUAAACGACAAUUUAAGGAUAAUUUAGUAUGAUAAUUUAAUAUUUAGUAUUUGAUGUCUAACAUUUGAGGAAAUCUUCCAAUGUAUUUGAUUCUGUGGUAAAUUUAUUUUACACAAAUAUGAGUCUGUUAAUGGUUCUUGUGUCGAUGUUUAACAAGACCAGAGGUGUAAAACGAUUGAUUUUAAAAUUAUGAAAAAUGUAAUUAAGGGAUAAUUACACAGAAAAUAUUAUCAUAUCAAUAAUUUAUCGUAGUAGGAUUCAGCGUAUUAUUAAGACAUUUAUUGUCUAUCUAAAAUUAUAUGUAUCAAGGUUACAUUUAUAACAAUGAAAACAUACAAAAAUAAAUUUAUUUCAUGACAAUUUAUACGUAUCUGUAGUAAUAGUCAAAUUGAUGCCGAUGAAUCACCGGAAUCUAAUUAAUAGUUCGAGUCAGUUAUGAAUACAUACAUAUGUAAUCGCAGCAAUCAUGUAACUUUUUUUAUACCUACUGUGGCUCAUAAUUAUAUUAUAAUCUAGAAUCAUAAUUGCUAUGAUAAAUUUCUGUAACAACAAAAUAAUUACGCAAUUACGAUAAAAUAUAGAGCAAGUAAUUCUUAAAACAAAUUCUUUUAAUCUUACGUUCGUUUUUUCAAGAAGCAAAAGGAACGGGCCGAGGAUGUGAAUACCAUCGCGAAAAAAGAAAUUGGAUUAAGAUUUACGUAAAAGUAUUUAGAGCUACACUAUAUAACCCUCUUAGGUAUGGCUUCGUAUAUUGCGUAAGUUGUCGGUCCGAACCUUUCAGAGUGUAGAUUGUUCAAGCAGCGCUCAUUCUUUCAGAUCGUUGUUGGUUAGCUCAUAUACAUAUACACGAUAAUGAUUACACGUUCGCUAUCUUUUGUGAGAUUAUAAGACAAGUAUAAUUACGUGUUGUACAACCGUUUGUCACGUUCUAUUAGCGAUGAUAAUAUUCUUUAUUAGAUUUUCAACUAAUAUUCAUCUUGUUUGCUAUUGCGUGUAAUUUUUAUGUAAAAUUAAGUAAUUUACUAAUUGUUUCUAAGUCUUGAUUUAGCACUGGCUUCUGUAAGUUCUCUAUGAUCUUCUAUCAAAAUUACAUGCAGCUUUCCCAUCGUAUUAUUAAUGAAAUUCUGAGAUAUUAUUUUCAAACUUAAUAAAUUGUACAGUAAUUCCUAAUUAUCCAAUUAGAACAUUGGAAUUCUACGAUCAAUCUCAUCCAAAUUCACCGUAUGAGCAGAUGUAUUUAGUAUCCAAUGCGUGCUUCGUGUAUUCAACCCUGAGGGGAUAUUUCAAAAGAGAACCUUUUAAAAGACUAGUAACAUAAGUAGAAUGCAGAGACCCGGCGGGAACAAUAUCUUUAACGACCAAAUAUGCAUAUUACAGUGAAAAUAGUACAGUGUUCUUAUAUAUCGUCAGAUUUCCCUCUACAAGCAUACGCUGGUUCUUCCGUUGUACAAAUACAAUUAUUAUUUAUGUUCUGAUACUUAUAAAUGUUCAAUCACCUAUAUAUAAACAUUUUUACAUCAUUAGGAUACGAUACAUUAAAAUAAGUACAUUUUGUAUCGAUUUAAAAAUGAUCAUAAAAUUAAUAGAUGUAAUUUUACAUACUCCGUGCAUUGAAAUUGAUAAUUAAUCUCUGAAACUUGGUUAUUACUCAUUCUAUAUAAUGAUAGAUGAAAGUAAAACGAUAUUUCCUGGCUGUUUCGAUCAAUCGUACCUGGAAAUAUUCGCCCAGGGAUAUUCGUCAAACGUUCUAUCGCCUAAGGCCACUAUAGAGAAUGAAUGGCAUGAAUAAUAAUAGCCUUAAAGUAUUAUGUCAUAUAUUAUUAUAUGAAAUAACUUCACGUAACAAUAUUAUUACUUGUUACUCUAAAAAUAAAUUAUCAUUGUUGGUAAGAUACAACCACGUUACAGGAAUAUAAUAUAUAUCGGUACACUUCAAAAUGUAAACGAAAACAACAAAUAGGAACUAUGUACAAAAUAAAAUUGCUAAAAUCUCA